GACGAACGCUGGCGGCGUGCUUAACACAUGCGAGUCGAACGGAAAGGCCCUGCUUUUGUGGGGUGCUCGAGUGGCGAACGGGUGAGUAACACGUGAGUAACCUGCCCUUGACUUUGGGAUAACUUCAGGAAACUGGGGCUAAUACCGGAUAGGAGCUCCUGCUGCAUGGUGGGGGUUGGAAAGUUUCGGCGGUUGGGGAUGGACUCGCGGCUUAUCAGCUUGUUGGUGGGGUAGUGGCUUACCAAGGCUUUGACGGGUAGCCGGCCUGAGAGGGUGACCGGCCACAUUGGGACUGAGAUACGGCCCAGACUCCUACGGGAGGCAGCAGUGGGGAAUAUUGCACAAUGGGCGGAAGCCAAUGCAGCAACGCCGCGUGCGGGAUGACGGCCUUCGGGUUGUAAACCGCUUUCGCCUGUGACGAAGCGUGAGUGACGGUAAUGGGUAAAGAAGCACCGGCUAACUACGUG
rnacentral:rRNA from 1 species